rnacentral:rRNA from 1 species
UCUUUACACCUAACUUGUUUAGCUUGUUUGGGCAGGUUUUGGUUUUAAGGGGAAGGUGUUUCGUUGGGGUGACGAGAAGAUAAACUAAACUCUUUUUAUAUGAAAACACUGAUGAGUGAAUAAUUGAUCCAUUAGUUAUGAUUAUAAGACUAAGU